rnacentral:rRNA from 1 species
AGCGAACGCUGGCGGCAGGCCUAACACAUGCAAGUCGAACGAAGUCUUCGGACUUAGUGGCGGACGGGUGAGUAACACGUGGGAACGUGCCUUUAGGUUCGGAAUAACUCAGGGAAACUUGUGCUAAUACCGAACGUGCCCUUCGGGGGAAAGAUUUAUCGCCUUUAGAGCGGCCCGCGUCUGAUUAGCUAGUUGGUGAGGUAAAGGCUCACCAAGGCGACGAUCAGUAGCUGGUCUGAGAGGAUGAUCAGCCACAUUGGGACGUGAGACAGGGCCCAAACUCCUACGGGAGGCAGCAGUGGGGAAUCUUGCGCAAUGGGCGAAAGCCUGACGCAGCCAUGCCGCGUGAAUGAUGAAGGUCUUAGGAUUGUAAAAUUCUUUCACCGGGGACGAUAAUGACGGUACCCGGAGAAGAAGCCCCGGCUAACUUCGUGCCAGCCGCCGCAGUAAUAC